AACGAACGCUGGCGGCAUGCCUAACACAUGCAAGUCGAACGAGACCUUCGGGUCUAGUGGCGCACGGGUACGUAACGCGUGGGAACCUGCCCUUAGGUUCGGAAUAACUCCCCGAAAGGGGUGCUAAUACCGGAUAAUGUCUUCGGACCAAAGAUUUAUCGCCUUUGGAUGGGCCCGCGUUGGAUUAGCUAGUUGGUAGUGUAAAAGCCUACCAAGGCUACGAUCCAUAGCUGGUCUGAGAGGAUGAUCAGCCACACUGGGACUGAGACACGGCCCAGAAUCCUACGGGAGGCAGCAGUGGGGAAUAUUGGACAAUGGGCGAAAGCAUGAUCCAGCAAUGCCGGGUGAGUGAUGAAGGCCUUAGGGUUGUAAAGCUCUUUUACCCGGGAUGAUAAUGACAGUACCGGGAGAAUAAGCACCGGCUAACUCCGUG
rnacentral:rRNA from 1 species